UACAGGGGGCGCAAACGUUGCUCGGAAUCAUUGGGCGUAAAGCGCACGUAGGCGGUUCGUUAUGUCGGAUGUGAAAGCCCUUGGCUUAACCGAGGAAGUGCAUCCGAAACUGGCGAGCUAGAGUACUAAAGAGGAUCGCGGAAUUCCCGGUGUAGAGGUGAAAUUCGUAGAUAUCGGGAGGAACACCGGUGGCGAAGGCGGCGAUCUGGGUAGAUACUGACGCUCAGACACGACAGCAUGGGGAGCGAACGGG
rnacentral:rRNA from 1 species